GAASCGAUCCAAGCGUUGUCCGGAUUUACUGGGUUUAAAGGGUGCGUAGGCGGACUUUUAAGUCAGUGGUGAAAGCCUGUAGCUUAACUAUAGAAUUGCCAUUGAAACUGAAAGUCUCGAGUGUGGUUGAGGUAACUGGAAUAUAUCAUGUAGCGGUGAAAUGCUUAGAUAUGAUAUAGAACACCAAUUGCGAAGGCAGGUUACUGAGCCACAACUGACGCUGAGGCACGAAAGCGUGGGGAUCAAACAGGAUUAGAUACCCUGGUAGUCCACGCCGUAAACGUUGAAUACUCGAUCUUAGCGAUACACAGUUAGGAUCCAAGCGAAAGCGUUAAGUAUUCCACCUGGGAAGUACGAUCGCAAGAUUG
rnacentral:rRNA from 1 species